rnacentral:lncRNA from 1 species
CUCAAACCACCCAAGAACCUCCUCAAACACCACAAGAACCUCCUAAACCCCCCCAAGAACCUCCAAGACACCCAAGAACCUCCUCAAACCCCUCAAGAUCCCUCAAAACCCCAACAAGAACCUCCAAGAACCUCCUCAAACCUCCCCAAACCUCCCCAAGAACCUCCAAGACCCCCAAGAACCUCCUCAAACCCCCCAAGAUCCCUCAAAACCCCAACAAGAACCUCCAAGAACCUCCCCAAGAACCUCCCUGGACCUUCCCGUCCCCUUGCAGACCCCUCAACCCCCCCAAGAUCCUCCUCAAACCCCCCAAGAACCUCCUCAAACCCCAUAAGAACCUUCUCAAACCCCACAAGAUCCCUCAAAACCCCUCCAAGAACCUCCAAGACCCCAUAAGAACCUUCUCAAACCCCACAAGAACCUUCUCAAACCCCAUAAGAACCUUCUCAAACCCCAUAGGAACCUUCUCAAACCCCCCAAGAUCCCUCAAAACCCUUCCAAGAACCUCCUCAAACCUCCCCAAGAACCUCCAAAACCCCCCAAGAACCUCCAAGACCCCCCAAGAACCUCCUCAAACCCCCCCCAAGAUCCCUCAAAAUCCCUACAAGAACCUUCUCAAACCCCACAAGAACCCUCAAAACCCCUCCAAGAACCUCCAAGACCCCAUAAGAACCUUCUCAAACCCCACAAGAACCUUCUCAAACCCCAUAAGAACCUUCUCAAACCCCAUAGGAACCUUCUCAAACCCCCCAAGAUCCCUCAAAACCCCAACAAGAACCUCCAAGAACCUCCCCAAGAACCAAGAACCCCCCCGAGACCCACCUGGGAGGCCUGGACGAUGAUGGGGACGCCCAGGAGACGUUGGCCGGUGAGGCCGAUGGCCAAGGGCACGGAUUGGAUCUCGCAGAACUCCACGUAGGCGAUGCCCUUGGAGCGGCGGGAGUUGCGGUCCGAGAUGAUGCGCACGUCCCUCACCUGGUGGAGAAGGAGAAGGAGAAGGUCC